rfam:Colletotrichum orbiculare MAFF 240422 contig00882, whole genome shotgun sequence.
UCCUCGAUAGUCUAGUGGUGAGAAUAUCGGCUUGUCACGCCGGGGACCGGGGUUCAAUUCCCCGUCGAGGAG